ensembl:lncRNA
GAGUGUAGAGGAGGUAGGUAGCCUAGUGGUUAGAGUGUAGAGGUGGCAGGUAGCCUAGUGGUUAGAGUGUAGAGGAGGCAGGGUAGCCUAGUGGUUAGAGUGUAGAGGAGGCAGGUAGCCUAGUGGUUAGAGUGUAGAGGCGGCAGGUAGCCUAGUGGUUAGAGUGUAGAGGUGGCAGGUAGCCUGGUGGUUAGAGUGUAGAGGUGGCAGGUAACCUAGUGGUUAGAGUGUAGAGGUGGCAGGUAGCCUAGUGGUUAGAGUGUAGAGGAGGCAGGUAGCCUAGUGGUUAGAGGAGAGGGGUAGGUAGCCUAGUGGUUAGAGUGUAGAGGAGGCAGGUAGCCUGGUGGUUAGAGUUUAGAGGUGGCAGGUAGCCUAGUGGUUAGAGUGUAGUGGAGGCAGGUAGCCUAGUGGUUAGAGUGUAGAGGAGGCAGGUAGCCUAGUGGUUAGAGUGUAGAGGGGGCAGGUAGCCUAGUGGUUAGAGUGUAGAGGUGGUAGGUAGCCUAGUGGUUAGAGUGUAGAGAGGGGCAGGUAGCCUAGUGGUUAGAGUGUAGAGGUGGUAGGUAGCCUAGUGGUUAGAGUGUAGAGAGGGGCAGGUAGCCUAGUGGUUAGAGUGUAGAGGUGGCAGGUAGCCUAGUGGUUAGAGUGUAGAGGGCGGCAGGUAGCCUAGUGGUUAGAGUGUAGAGGUGGCAGGUAGCCUAGUGGUUAGAGUGUAGAGGAGGCAGGUAGCCUAGUGGUUAGAGUGUAGAGGUGGCAGGUAGCCUAGUGGUUAGAGUGUAGAGGUGGCAGGUAGCCUAGUGGUUAGAGUGUAGAGGUGGUAGGUAGCCUAGUGGUUAGAGUGUAGAGGCGGCAGGUAGCCUAGUGGUUAGAGUGUAGAGGAGGCAGGUAGCCUAGUGGUUAGAGUGUAGAGGUGGCAGGUAGCCUAGUGGUUAGAGUGGAGGGGAGGCAGGUAGCCUAGUGGUUAGAGUGUAGAGGUGGCAGGUAGCCUAGUGGUUAGAGUGGAGGGGCGGCAGGUAGCUUAGUGGUUAGAGUGGAGGGGCGGCAGGUAGCCUAGGUGUUAGAGUGGAGGGGCAGCAGGUAGCCUAGUGGUUAGAGUGGAGGGGAGGCAGGUAGCCUAGUGGUUAGAGUGAAGGGGAGGCAGGUAGCCUAGUGGUUAGAGUGGAGGAGCGGCAGGUAGCCUAGUGGUUUGAGUGAAGGGAGGCAGGUAGCCUAGUGGUUAAAGUGAAGGGGAGGCAGGUAGCCUAGUGGUUAGAGUGUAGGGGCUGCAGGUAGCAUAGUGCUUAGAGUGGAGGGGCGGCAGGUAGCCUAGUCCUUAGAGUGGAGGAGGCAGGUAGCCUAGUGGUUAGAGUGGAGGGGCGGCAGGUAGACUAGUGGUUAGAGUGGAGGGGCGGCAGGUAGCCUCGUGGUUAGAGUGGAGGGGCGGCAGGUAGCCUAGUGGUUAGAGUGUAGAGGCGGCAGGUAGCCUAGUGGUUAGAUUGGAGGGGCGGCAGGUAGCCUAGUGGUUAGAGUGGGGG